rnacentral:rRNA from 1 species
UAGGGAAUCUUCCACAAUGGACGCAAGUCUGAUGGAGCAACGCCGCGUGAGUGAAGAAGGCUUUCGGGUCGUAAAACUCUGUUAUUGAAGAAGAACGUGCGUGACAGUAACUGGUCAUGCAGUGACGGUAUUCAAUCAGAAAGUCACGGCUAACUACGUGCCAGCAGCCGCGGUAAUACGUAGGUGGCAAGCGUUGUCCGGAUUUAUUGGGCGUAAAGCGAGUGCAGGCGGUCUUUUAAGUCUGAUGUGAAAGCCUUCGGCUUAACCGAAGAAGGGCAUCGGAAACUGGGAGACUUGAGUGCAGAAGAGGAGAGUGGAACUCCAUGUGUAGCGGUGAAAUGCGUAGAUAUAUGGAAGAACACCAGUGGCGAAGGCGGCUCUCUGGUCUGUAACUGACGCUGAGGCUCGAAAGCGUGGGUAGCAAACAGGAUUAGAUGCCCUGGUAGUCCACGCCGUAAACGAUGAAUACUAAGUGUUGGAGGGUUUCCGCCCUUCAGUGCUGCAGCUAACGCAUUAAGUAUUCCGCCUGGGGAGUACGACCGCAAGGUUGAAAC